rnacentral:lncRNA from 1 species
GGAUAUUGAGAAAGUACGCCACCUCCACCAUUCAAUCCAGAUGUUGGGGAUCCUUUGAGGUAUGAACUAUUGGAGAAAGCAGCUUGGCGGUUAGAAUUAUUAAGGUCCGAGCCAACAGAAUAUAUUGGAGAAAGCAGCUUGGGGGUUAGAACUAUUAAGGUCUGAGCUGACAGAAUAUGGUACUUUUGCAGACUGAGCAGUAGAAGCCCUAUUGAACUGUGGGGAUUCAGAUUGCUUCAAGAAUUCAUGCUGCUUUGUGUUAUUCUGCCCAC